rnacentral:rRNA from 1 species
AGUGAACGCUGGCGGUAGGCCUAACACAUGCAAGUCGAACGGCAGCACAGUAAGAGCUUGCUCUUACGGGUGGCGAGUGGCGGACGGGUGAGGAAUACAUCGGAAUCUACUUUUUCGUGGGGGAUAACGUAGGGAAACUUACGCUAAUACCGCAUACGACCUACGGGUGAAAGCAGGGGAUCUUCGGACCUUGCGCGAUUGAAUGAGCCGAUGUCGGAUUAGCUAGUUGGCGGGGUAAAGGCCCACCAAGGCGACGAUCCGUAGCUGGUCUGAGAGGAUGAUCAGCCACACUGGAACUGAGACACGGACCAGACUCCUACGGGAGGCAGCAGUGGGGAAUAUUGGACAAUGGGCGCAAGCCUGAUCCAGCCAUACCGCGUGGGCGAAGAAGGCCUUCGGGUUGUAAAGCCCUUUUGUUGGGAAAGAAAAGCAGCAGGUUAAUACCCCGCUGUUCUGACGGUACCCAAAGAAUAAGCACCGGCUAACUUCGUG